ensembl:snRNA U6 U6 spliceosomal RNA
GUGCUCCCUUCUGCAGUACAUGUACUAAAAUUAUAAUAAUACAGAGAAGAUUAGCAUGGCCAAUGUGCAAAAAUGACAUGUGGAUUCAUGAAACAUGAAGGAGAAGA